rnacentral:misc_RNA from 1 species
UUUCCGUAGGUGUACCUGCGGAAGGAUCAUUAUUGUAUAACCGAGGUGCGAGGGCUGUCGCUGACCCGAAAGGUCGUGCACGCCCGAGUGCCCUCACACACAUCCAUCUCACCCCUAUGUGCACCACCGCGUGGGUCCCCCUUUGGCUUGUUCGGAGGGGGGCUUACGUUUUCACACAAACUUUGUAUGUAGUGUAGAAUGUAUUUUUUGUUUUUGCGAUCACGCAAUCAAUACAACUUUCAACAACGGAUCUCUUGGCUCUC